GAUGAAUGCUGGCGGCGUGCCUAAUACAUGCAAGUCGAGCGAACGGACGAGAAGCUUGCUUUUCUGAUGUUAGCGGCGGACGGGUGAGUAACACGUGGAUAACCUACCUAUAAGACUGGGAUAACUUCGGGAAACCGGAGCUAAUACCGGAUAAUAUUUUGAACCGCAUGGUUCAAAAGUGAAAGACGGUCUUGCUGUCACUUAUAGAUGGAUCCGCGCUGCAUUAGCUAGUUGGUAAGGUAACGGCUUACCAAGGCAACGAUGCAUAGCCGACCUGAGAGGGUGAUCGGCCACACUGGAACUGAGACACGGUCCAGACUCCUACGGGAGGCAGCAGUAGGGAAUCUUCCGCAGUGGGCGAAAGCCUGACGGAGCAACGCCGCGUGAGUGAUGAAGGUCUUCGGAUCGUAAAACUCUGUUAUUAGGGAAGAACAUAUGUGUAAGUAACUGUGCACAUCUUGACGGUACCUAAUCAGAAAGCCACGGCUAACUACGUG
rnacentral:rRNA from 1 species